GGGUUGUGAGGUUAAGCGACUAAGCGUACACGGUGGAUGCCCUGGCAGUCAGAGGCGAUGAAGGACGUGCUAAUCUGCGAAAAGCGUCGGUAAGGUGAUAUGAACCGUUAUAGCCGGCGAUGUCCGAAUGGGGAAACCCAGUGCAAUUCGUUGCACUAUCGUUAACUGAAUACAUAGGUUAACGAGGCGAACCGGGGGAACUGAAACAUCUAAGUACCCCGAGGAAAAGAAAUCAACCGAGAUUCCCCCAGUAGCGGCGAGCGAACGGGGAGCAGCCCAGAGUCUGAAUCAGCUUGUGUGUUAGUGGAACGGUCUGGAAAGUCCGACGGUACAGGGUGAUAGUCCCGUACACCAAAAUGCACAGGCUGUGAACUCGAAGAGUAGGGCGGGACACGUGGUAUCCUGUCUGAAUAUGGGGGGACCAUCCUCCAAGGCUAAAUACUCCUGACUGACCGAUAGUGAACCAGUACCGUGAGGGAAAGGCGAAAAGAACCCCGGCGAGGGGAGUGAAAAAGAACCUGAAACCGUGUACGUACAAGCAGUGGGAGCACCUUCGGGUGUGACUGCGUACCUUUUGUAUAAUGGGUCAGCGACUUAUAUUCUGUAGCAAGGUUAACCGUAUAGGGGAGCCGCAGGGAAACCGAGUCUUAACUGGGCGUUAAGUUGCAGGGUAUAGACCCGAAACCCGGUGAUCUAGCCAUGGGCAGGUUGAAGGUUGGGUAACACUAACUGGAGGACCGAACCGACUAAUGUUGAAAAAUUAGCGGAUGACUUGUGGCUGGGGGUGAAAGGCCAAUCAAACCGGGAGAUAGCUGGUUCUCCCCGAAAGCUAUUUAGGUAGCGCCUCGUGAACUCAUCUUCGGGGGUAGAGCACUGUUUCGGCUAGGGGGUCAUCCCGACUUACCAACCCGAUGCAAACUACGAAUACCGAAGAAUGUUAUCACGGGAGACACACGGCGGGUGCUAACGUCCGUCGUGAAGAGGGAAACAACCCAGACCGCCAGCUAAGGUCCCAAAGUCAUGGUUAAGUGGGAAACGAUGUGGGAAGGCACAGACAGCCAGGAUGUUGGCUUAGAAGCAGCCAUCAUUUAAAGAAAGCGUAAUAGCUCACUGGUCGAGUCGGCCUGCGCGGAAGAUGUAACGGGGCUAAACCAUGCACCGAAGCUGCGGCAGCGACACUAUGUGUUGUUGGGUAGGGGAGCGUUCUGUAAGCCUGCGAAGGUGACCUGUGAGGGUUGCUGGAGGUAUCAGAAGUGCGAAUGCUGACAUAAGUAACGAUAAAGCGGGUGAAAAGCCCGCUCGCCGGAAGACCAAGGGUUCCUGUCCAACGUUAAUCGGGGCAGGGUGAGUCGACCCCUAAGGCGAGGCCGAAAGGCGUAGUCGAUGGGAAACAGGUUAAUAUUCCUGUACUUGGUGUUACUGCGAAGGGGGGACGGAGAAGGCUAUGUUAGCCGGGCGACGGUUGUCCCGGUUUAAGCAUGUAGGCUGAUUGUCCAGGCAAAUCCGGAUAAUCAAGGCUGAGGUGUGAUGACGAGGCACUACGGUGCUGAAGUAACAAAUGCCCUGCUUCCAGGAAAAGCCUCUAAGCAUCAGGUAACAUUAAAUCGUACCCCAAACCGACACAGGUGGUCAGGUAGAGAAUACCAAGGCGCUUGAGAGAACUCGGGUGAAGGAACUAGGCAAAAUGGUGCCGUAACUUCGGGAGAAGGCACGCUGGUGUGUAGGUGAAGUCCCUGCGGAUGGAGCUGAGACCAGUCGAAGAUACCAGCUGGCUGCAACUGUUUAUUAAAAACACAGCACUGUGCAAACACGAAAGUGGACGUAUACGGUGUGACGCCUGCCCGGUGCCGGAAGGUUAAUUGAUGGGGUUAUCCGUAAGGAGAAGCUCUUGAUCGAAGCCCCGGUAAACGGCGGCCGUAACUAUAACGGUCCUAAGGUAGCGAAAUUCCUUGUCGGGUAAGUUCCGACCUGCACGAAUGGCGUAAUGAUGGCCAGGCUGUCUCCACCCGAGACUCAGUGAAAUUGAACUCGCUGUGAAGAUGCAGUGUACCCGCGGCAAGACGGAAAGACCCCGUGAACCUUUACUAUAGCUUGACACUGAACAUUGAGCCUUGAUGUGUAGGAUAGGUGGGAGGCUUUGAAGCGUGGACGCCAGUCUGCGUGGAGCCAACCUUGAAAUACCACCCUUUAAUGUUUGAUGUUCUAACGUUGGCCCCUGACCGGGGUUGCGGACAGUGUCUGGUGGGUAGUUUGACUGGGGCGGUCUCCUCCCAAAGCGUAACGGAGGAGCACGAAGGUUAGCUAAUCCUGGUCGGACAUCAGGAGGUUAGUGCAAUGGCAUAAGCUAGCUUGACUGCGAGCGUGACGGCGCGAGCAGGUGCGAAAGCAGGUCAUAGUGAUCCGGUGGUUCUGAAUGGAAGGGCCAUCGCUCAACGGAUAAAAGGUACUCCGGGGAUAACAGGCUGAUACCGCCCAAGAGUUCAUAUCGACGGCGGUGUUUGGCACCUCGAUGUCGGCUCAUCACAUCCUGGGGCUGAAGUAGGUCCCAAGGGUAUGGCUGUUCGCCAUUUAAAGUGGUACGCGAGCUGGGUUUAGAACGUCGUGAGACAGUUCGGUCCCUAUCUGCCGUGGGCGCUGGAGAAUUGAGGGGGGCUGCUCCUAGUACGAGAGGACCGGAGUGGACGCAUCACUGGUGUUCGGGUUGUCAUGCCAAUGGCACUGCCCGGUAGCUAAAUGCGGAAGAGAUAAGUGCUGAAAGCAUCUAAGCACGAAACUUGCCCCGAGAUGAGUUCUCCCUGAGACUUUAAGUCUCCUGAAGGAACGUU
rnacentral:rRNA from 1 species